AAGUCUGGUGCCAGCAGCCGCGGUAAUUCCAGCUCCAAUAGCGUAUAUUAAAGUUGUUGCAGUUAAAAAGCUCGUAGUUGAAUUUCGGGGUUAGUAGGUUGGUCAUGCCUCCGGUAUGUACUGAUCUCACUGAUUCCUCCUUCCUUAUGAACCGUAAUGCCAUUAAUUUGGUGUUGCGGGGAAUUUGGACUGUUACUUUGAAAAAAUUAGAGUGUUUAAAGCAAGCUAACGCUUGAAUACAUUAGCAUGGAAUAAUGAAAUAGGACGUUCGAUCUUAUUUUGUUGGUUUCUAGGAUUGACGUAAUGAUUAAUAGGGAUAGUUGGGGGCAUUAGUAUUCAAUUGUCAGAGGUGAAAUUCUUGGAUUUAUUGAAGACUAACUACUGCGAAAGCAUUUGCCAAGGAUGUUUUCAUUAAUCAAGAACGAAAGUUAGGGGAUCGAAGACGAUCAGAUACCGUCGUAGUCUUAACCAUAAACUAUGCCGACUAGGGAUCGGAUGAUGUUAAUUUUUUAAUGACUCAUUCGGCGCCUUACGGGAAACCAAAGUGUUUGGGU
rnacentral:rRNA from 1 species